GACGAACGCUGGCGGCGUGCCUAAUACAUGCAAGUAGAACGCUGAAGGAGGAGCUUGCUCUUCUGGAUGAGUUGCGAACGGGUGAGUAACGCGUAGGUAACCUGCCUGGUAGCGGGGGAUAACUAUUGGAAACGAUAGCUAAUACCGCAUAACAGUAGAUGUUGCAUGACAUUUGCUUAAAAGGUGCAAUUGCACCACUACCAGAUGGACCUGCGUUGUAUUAGCUAGUUGGUGGGGUAACGGCUCACCAAGGCGACGAUACAUAGCCGACCUGAGAGGGUGAGCGGCCACACUGGGACUGAGACACGGCCCAGACUCCCACGGGAGGCAGCAGUAGGGAAUCUUCGGCAAUGGACGGAAGUCUGACCGAGCAACGCCGCGUGAGUGAAGAAGGUUUUCGGAUCGUAAAGCUCUGUUGUAAGAGAAGAACGAGUGUGAGAGUGGAAAGUUCACACUGUGACGGUAUCUUACCAGAAAGGGACGGCUAACUACGUG
rnacentral:rRNA from 1 species